ensembl:lncRNA
UGACAGGACACGCACUGAGAGCUGAGACACGCUGGGAGUGGGAGAUGUAAUCCAAUUCCUCCUGAAGGCAACAGCCAAGAGUUUUUCACAAAGCUCUGCAGUGUUAACAAGGGAGCUGAGGGAACUGUGCCCGAUUGACCCUUACAGCAUGAAGAGCAGGGCAUGUAGAAGGCAGAUGGCAAGAAUGAAAUGCCCUUACGCAGAGAAUGGGAUUGAAACUAAGUUUUCCAUGCCUCAGACUGUUCUCAAGAGGUGAUUGUGCUAAUUCUUUCCUCUCACAAAUAUGUUCUUGGGCGAUCAAUCAAGAUGAACUUACAGAUGCCAUGAAGUCAUGAUGUUGAACAACCCCAACUCUACUUUCAGAAGUCAAAGAGGAUCUCAACAACACAGCUGGGGCUUGGACAAAAUUCUCUAGCAGCAGUCUGCAAAUUACAGUGAUUCCUUGAAGAGACAGAAAACAGAACAAAGCAACUUAACCUGGGAGGAGGAGUUCAAAUCUGUUUGGCUUGGACAAGUUUGAGAAGUGAGCCCACAUUAACCUAAUGUCCAAGUGCAAGGAACUGCACCUGGGCUGGGACAAUACCAAAUAUGAGUACAAACUGGACACUUUCCUGUGCAGCCUAUUGUAGGGAACCUGCUUUAACAGUGAGAUUGGACUUAAUAAUCUUCAGAGGUCCCUUCCAACCCCUGGGAGAAGAACUUGAGAGCAGACCUGCAGAGAAGGACUAAGGGGUUCUGGUAGGUAUGAGCUAGAUUUAAGCCAGCUGUGUGCACUUGCAGCCCAGAAGGUCAACAGAAUCCUGGGUGGAACUAAAGAGGGGUGGCAGCAGGGAGAGGGAGGGGAUUGUCCCUCUUUGCUCUGUCCUUGUGAGGUCCCAACUGGAGUACUGUAUCUGGGCCUGGGGCCCCAGCACCAGAAGGAUGCAAAGCUGUUGAGUGGGUCCAGAGGAGUCCAUGAAAAUGAUCAGGGGGAGGGAGCACCUCUCCUUUUGAGACAGGCUAGGAGAGCUGGGCUUUUCCAGCUUGGAGAAGAGGCUCCUGGGAGGCCUCCUUGUGGCCUUAAAGCAAGUUUUUGAACAAGACAGAAGCUGACCUUUUGUGCAGUCUGAUAGGCAUAGGACAAGGUGGAAGUGUCUUAAACUAAGAAAAGAAGAUUUAGGUUAGAUGUUAUACAGAAGUUCUUUACUCAGUGGGUGGUGAGGCACUGGCACAGCUACCCAGAGAAGCUGUGGUGUCCCAUCCCUGGAGGCACUCAAGGCCAGGUUGGAUGGGACCCUGGGCAGCCUGAGCUGGUGGGCGGCAGCCCUGCCCACGGCAGGGCCUGGGGCUGGGUGGGCCUUGAGGUCCAUUCCAACCCAAACCAUUCUGUGAUUUUAUAAUAUUCAGGAGGUACCUGUAUAUACAUUUAUUUUUCUAUAAACAUACAUAUUAUUUUUUUCUACAGGCUUUUGUCUAAACAUUAAUGCCCUAUGCAUUUGGUUUCUGUUAUGGGAUACGUUCAAGGAAUUGUUCUUGGAGAAGUGUCAUACAAAUAUAUAUAUCAACUUAAAUAACUGUGCUAAUAUAAAUUAUUCUCUGUGAUUUUGUUGACCCUGUUGAAUUUAUGCCGUGUACAUCUGCUUUACUUCGCUCUUUACAGUACUGUUCAUGGUUUAUCAUCUUUAGGCUCUUCAUUAGUUUUAUCCCCAUUCUUUGCUCUUCGUAUGGCAUGAAUUCUGUGCUGAAUUUGGGACUGAGUACAUUGGGAGCGAGCCUGGAAAUCAGGAGAAGCAGAGUUGCUUUUCUUCUCCGUUAUUCUGAUCCUUUGUGACUCCCGGUAAGUCCUUCGGUGCCUCUGAUUCUUCCUUCAUUUUUUCUUGACUAGGGCAAGCUCCUCAAGGAUUCUGUGCUCACAGGAUGAUUUGAACAAUGGAUCUAUUUGUAGCCUAGGUGGUACCAUGGUUCCCAAAUGGUGUAUGCUUUCCAAACGAGAAAAGCUUUCAUCAGAAAUAUGAUGCAUUUUCGUGAUCUGAUACGUUCAUUUACAGGUUUGUCCAUAAAUAUUUUUGCAGCUACACAGAGGGGAAAAUGAAUAUGGUCUUACAUACUUCACUUCUUCACGGAUGUUUGUAUGCUACCUUCCCUUCUGGGCUGUCUUAUUUAUUGUCUGUGCUGUGUGUUUGCUUGCAAAUCUGAAUCUUUCUCUACAGAUGCAGAGACUCUUAACUCCUUUCUCAUGGAGCAAACCAUCCAUCAGCACAUUUUGCCUUGAGGUCUGCAGAAUGUCAGGUUUGGGUCAGUUAGCAUUGUCUUCAGUGCCUAAAUCUUUGAAAACAAGUUCAUACUGUCAAUUUCUUGAAACAAUUCUGCAAUUGGUAGAUAUUCAUGUAGAUUAUACUCUCAUUAUCAUUAGACUGUUUAACCCAACAUUCUUAACCUUUCUUGUUAGGAUGGCUGAAACUAAGGACUGGUCCUCAGAUGAAGCAGUGGGUGAGGUUGGCUGAUCUUCGUGCUCUAGAAUGAUACAUCUUCUUAUUAGGAAAAGGUUUUGGGUGCUGUUCUUGUUUGGGUGUCUGGCUGCUGAGAAAGAUGCUUUGAAUGUACAGUCGUUUGUAAACAUGGAGUGGCAGAUGCAUUCAGUUAAAAUGUAAUUCCAGGCUUGUGGCUUACCCUUGAAAUGCUUUCUUCCAUCUAGCAGCACUACUGAGCUCUCAGUCUGAAGUUGAGCCAGCUGUCUGUCUUCCAGAUCCUUUCAAGCAAGUCUACGUUUGGUAUGGUUUUGCUUGUACCUGAUUCUGGUGAAUAACAGUAAAAGCUGGGGAAUGUGUGAAGAGGAUCUGAUGUUGCACUCUGAAGGCAGAACUAUGAAGAGAGAGUUUCAAGUAUCCAGCUUUUUUCACAGUGCUGUGACUAACUCUCCAUUUUAAAAAGCUUAUCUGGAUGUUGCCAAGGACACUUCUACUUCCUGGAUUGCUUUGCCUUUGGUGGAACAGGACGGAGUAGCUACGCUGCAUCAUUCAGGCAGAACAUGGUAUAGCUAAAAGCCAGUAUUGGUAGUUCUGCUCUUCCAAACGUUAAAAUGUAGAAAGGUGCUACAUUUUACAGAAAUAAAGGGGUAAAUGAAUUGGGGGGAAAAAAAAGAAAAACUUUCAUGCAUAAUUACAUAGAAAUUCUAUGUGUAAAAAGAAGCAUGAAUUGACCAUUCUAUUGACCUCCAGUAGAAUUUUCUGUUAGCUAAGAUCUAUGUAUUAAAGCCAAAGCCCAUCCCAGAUUCAUCCAUCAGUCCUGCUUGCGGAGUUUUACUGUAAUGAUUCAUUCAGGAUUUCAACUUUUGGAGAUGACUACUUAGUACUUUUGGCUUAGAUUUUUACUGCUUGUAAAGCUUGGUGUAUAGGCUUAUCAUUUCAGAAAUAACAUGAACUAGGUUAUGAGAUCAUUGUGAAAGAUUCUUCAUUAACUGUCAUACAACGCUCAUGGAACUAUAUUAUUUCAGGGGAUUUUUUCCUCAUUUCUCCCAGGAGAAAUUUUCAAGCUGGUGGGUUCUGAUAUAAAAUAUAUACAAUACUCAUUUUGUGCUCAAAGUUUCUUGAUAUAAAGAUCACUAGAUUAGAUUGCACAUACUUUUAGGGGGAAAAUAUUUUAGUUUGGAAACUGUAUUAAAGUGAAUGUAUCUCAAAAAUUAAAUCAUAGUAUGUGUGUGAUUAGAUAUGUAAUCUAAGUAUAUUUCAAAAUAUUAUACCAGACAUGUUACCUAACUCAAUCUACAUGCAUUGCUUUGGCAAGUUCAGAGUUUGCCUAAUAGGCUGAAGUCAAGAGAUAAGAAUAGCUUGUUCAGCAUGUCCAGACAAUGUAGUUAUGAAGGAAAGAAAGGAAGAAAAGAAGAAAACUUAGAGCAGUGGAAAUAUUUCAGGUAAAGGGACAGGAACCUAGAGUGUGAGAAGUGAAGCUGAACAUGUGAAUAUAACAAGAAGUGAUAGAACAGUACUGGUUCUUUUUAUUGUUCUAAUAAAGAUGAUUCAGGUCUGCUUUUAUUUCUCUCAGAAUCUGUGGCAAGUCUCUGUUUUCAUUUAUAGGAUAUGAGAGUAGAGCUUCUAGAGUACCCAUCUGGCCUGUCAAUGUUUAUUCUUUUUCACUGUGGUGAGGCUAUUGACGUUUUCUGGGCUUUUGCUCUGGAAAACUGAGUAGUCCAUGAUGAACGUGUGCCACUGCUAUUGCUAGGGAAAGACGUUAAGAUCCUUUGGUAGGAAGACAGGUGAUUUUCUGUCUGGCAUGGAGUUGUCAUUUCACUCACUGGUCAAAACUCUAAGGUAAGUACAGCCUUUCAGAGCUCUUGUUAAAUGCACUGCAUUAAUUCACAGUGUCUCCCUUAGCUUCUCAUAAUGUUAUCUUGCUCUUAAUCAAAGCUUCUGUUAAAGCUCAUCUCUUCCUAUGUUCCCUUGCACAGUUGAAUGUAGAUCUUUCUUUCAUAAUCUUCACUGUUUGCAGUUUAAUCUGCAUUAAUAUUUGACUUUAUUGCACAGUAAUAUUCACACACAAUGAGGGCAUUUAUGAUCCUGCAAAAGCACCAUCUUAAAUACAAGACAUGGGAAUUUUUUUUUGGAGGCCCACCCCUAGCCUUGCAAGACUUGCGGCACCAGCUCCUUCACAGUGUGAUUCACGGACAUGAAGUUAGGAACCUGUUGCUAACAAAUGCCAGUCUUCUGCAUUGCACCAAUAGUUCAGCAAAGGGAUUCAGGACCAAAAGUUAGCUUUCGGGAAUAAUAUGUCCUUAAUUUGGGCUUUAUUGCACUUUAUCUACAAUAUCUACGUGGGGAGUCUGGGUGAAAACUGACCGAUCUGUUUAACUUUACCAUGUUAGUGGCUAACCUUUUACAGUUUUAGAGCUGUUUGCAGAAUAUGACCCUCCUGCAGUGCACAAACCCUCUAAAGUCCUUUGUCAGCUAAACUGCAGUUGUCAGACAUGAGGGUUAUGGGAACGCUACAGACUAACUUUGUAGGAUUUGCUCCUGUCUUUGUCAUUAGUCAAACUUCUAACACUGGUUAAAAUGUACAUUUUGUAACUUAAUAAUUCUAAACUGGAAAAUUAGACCACAAAACUGGACACUGAAUAAAUUUACUCCUUUGAAUAUGGUCUCUGCACCUUAACAAAACACAUCACAGUGAGUUAAUAAUUACUAUUUUUAUACUGUGUUAUUUUAUGGAAAGUAUCUCUCACCAGCAGGAAAGUACAAGGACUUCUAGGAUUCACUGGGGUAUAAUGAAAGUUGCCAAAAAUGUAAACUAAUACAGAUUUUCUUAUGAACCAUGAAAAUAUUAUGUUUAAACUAAAACUGUAACCUUUAGCCUUUGUAUGAGAACAGCAAAAAUAUGAACAGGGAUUUUAAAAAAAUGUGUGUACGUAGACAUCUGAGGUCUCAGGCCUUAUUUUUUUAUUAAAUAAAUAGGGUCCGAGACCUCAGAUGGCUAGAAAAUACCAGCCAACUAAACUAACAUGAGAAGAUCAAUGGAUGAUCUGUAAGUGGAAAAAUUCUAUUCUGAUUAAAUCUACACAAAGGAUCCCUCUUUUUCCUUCCCAAAUGCUUUAGUGUACAUUUAAUUGCAGCAAGAUACCUUUUCACCUCCAUUAGGACAUUUUUUUUUUCUGGGAUUUUUCCAUUCUGCUUUUACUUCCUCCACUCAGGAAGUCAACAGACUGUAGCCAACAUACCAGCAGUACUCUUAGGACAGCAGUGACCUACCCAGCAUUCAGCAUCCAGCAACAAAGUCAAGACAAAAGAAAUAGUCACCUUGAGAGUCAAAAAUAGUAAGCUCCCAGGAUUCUGUUAGAAUACCAGAGUAUUGAAAGAGGCCAGGAUAUCAUUUCAGCUUUCUAGACCAGCUGUGGGGGUGUACAGUCAAGCCAGAAAGCUUAUGAAGAACAAAGGCAGUAAAACCAAACAUAGACAGUUCUUUGAAUCUGUGAUCUUUCCUUGCUUGAUAAAGUUCAGUUGUAGAAUUGAGCUGAAACUGUUUACUGAGCUAAUUUAUACUAACAGUUAAUUUUGACAACAACACGAGCCAUUUUUUCUCAUUUUGAAUUUUAACCAAAAGAAGCCCUAUUUUGAGGAUUGGGCACAAAAAUCCAGAAAUCUUUGAAUGUCUUAAAAACGGGAUGCUGUGACUUUUCUAUUUUGAAACUCGUUUCCCAUUCAGAGCAGAGCAAAUCUUUUUCUUUCUUUUCUUUUUCUUUUUUAACUAAAGGGAAUAAAAGGGUUAAAUAACCUGAAAGAAGAAAAGGAUCAAAUGAAUGUUCGGCCUGACCCCAGGCAUUUCUUCAAGGUUUUGUUUCAAUAACCCAACUAAAAUAUCCCUUGUUAACAUGAUUCUAAGUACAAGGUACCUUAACAACAAUUCCCGGGAGAUGUCGUAACACCUUUGUCAAAUUCAGUUUAAUGUCAGAGUGGCUGAGAACAUGUUCAUUCUAUGAAAAAAGGUACUUUAACAUUUCCAUCCUAAUUUUGGAAGAAAACAAAUGUUGAAGUAUUAGAAUUUCCCCCAGGAUGAAAAUUCUAAUAUUUUGCUCAGCUCUGGUUUCCAAUAACUCUUACACUUUAAUUUUGUGAUAUUUAACUUAAUGUUUCCCAUGUGAGUAUUAUAGCACUAGUGGGUAAAACUUUAGUCACCUCACAGAUUAGGCAUGCAAAGGAAAACAGUUCAUAUAUGUACAGGGACAGAUUUCUGCCUUCACAAGUGCCUUCCUCUUGUUUCCCCUGCUGAUGAGAUGUCAGUUUAUUACAGACUUGAUGAAUGGAGUUUCCUUUCUCAGGAAACAG